rnacentral:tRNA from 1 species
GCCUUCGUGGUGUAGUGGUCAGCACACUCGGCGUGUAUUCGAGAAUUGCCUGGUUCGAGUCCCGGCAAGGGCA